rnacentral:rRNA from 1 species
AGCAGCCGCGGUAAUUCCAGCUCCAAUAGCGUAUAUUAAAGUUGUUGCAGUUAAAAAGCUCGUAGUUGAAUUUCGGGAUCAAUAUAUCGGUCGUGCCAUUGGUUACGUACUGGUAUCAUUGGUUUCUCCUUUCUGACGAACCAUGAUGUCACUAAUUUGGUGUUAUGGGAAGUUAGGACUGUUACUUUGAAAAAUUAGAGUGUUUAAAGCAGGCUUUAGCUUGAAUACAUUAGCAUGGAACAAUGAAAUAGGAACGUUCGAACCUAUUUUAGUUGGUUUCUUAGGAUCAACGUAAUGAUUAAUAGGGAUAGUUGGGGGCAUUAGUAUUCAAUUGUCAGAGGUGAAAUUCUUGGAUUUAUUGAAGACUAACUACUGCGAAAGCAUUUGCCAAGGAUGUUUUCAUUAAUCAAGAACGA